AAAGGGAGAGACUUAUUAGACCUGCUGAAAACACCGCAGAAAGGCGCUUUGUGGAUUGAUUCAGCAUUGAGAGAUCCAAGCUGAGUAUCCACAAACACCUUAACAACGUCGAAAGUAGCCUACUUUAAGAGGAAAUAUGCAGAAGAAGAAGAUUUACAUCAAGAUUACCAGGGGUAUUUUCCAAAACACCUGAUAUUACCUGAAGAUCGAACGUGUAUUCUGAAACUAUCUCUGCAGAAGCUUCAGUUUCUUGAAGAUCCCGAGGUCUAUCUCCGCCGGUCGGUGUUGAUCAACAACUUGCUGCGGAAGAUUCACCUGGAGACGGAGCGCGAACGCUAUGAAUACUUUAAAGGAACCCCGUGCUGUAGGACUGCCUACUCUGAUACGAGAAAACGGCUGAAGUUCAUGGUACAAGAAUGCCGCGCGCAAUCCCUUUAUUACGAAGAGCUCCAUUCGUAUCAUCUUGUGCCUUAUCCGACGGAGAAUGCCAUUUAUGGAAUGGGCUACUCAAGCAGUCAUUUGGAGCAAAAUCCA